rnacentral:lncRNA from 1 species
AGGCUGUUUUGCUGAAGAUCCCUGUGUACCUGAGGCCUUCUGAAGAGCUGACUGGAGAAAGGAAGAGGAUAAAUGGCAUAAAACUGGCCAACGUCAGAGGAUGUCCUACAUCAAGUUACAUUCCUAGGUUAUUUGUACUGCCUGAAAAGAGUAAAAAUCUCAUUAAAAGAGAAAAGGAGCAAGCUAUUAUUUUUCUGGAAUAUCCCAACAUAGGCUUAGUGCCAAGCAUGCUGGUGUUGAAGAGGAGAAGCUGUUCUACAGCUGUUCUCAACAUGAGGAAAAACAAGUAAGAGCCUUUCAGAAAUGCCAUCAUGAAGUGGUAUGGGCAACGGCUGGUAGCAGCAGGAGAG